rnacentral:RNase_P_RNA from 1 species
AAUGCAAGCCGCCCUGUCGCUCGUUAUACGGGAGGAAAGUCCGGGCAGCAUAGAGCAGCGCACUUCCUAACGGGAAGGAUCCUGAUUUCGAUCGGGGUACAGAAAGUGCCACAGAAAACAAACUACCUCAAUUUCGAUUGAGGAAAAGGUGAAAAGGCGGGGUAAGAGCCCACCGCUCUUCGGGGUGACCCGGGAGGCAUGGUAAACCUUGCGCGCUGAAAGGCCAAAUAAGUCCGGCCCAGAGGGCGGCUCGUCCAAUGUUCUUCGGAACGGACCGGAUGGGUAGGCUGAUAGAUCCUGGUGGUGACGCCAGGACCAGAUAAAUGACAGGGCUGACGGCGAAAGCCGGCAGACAGAACCCGGCUUACAGGCUUGUAUUAUCU